rnacentral:rRNA from 1 species
GCAGUCGAACGCGCAAAGAGUUCUUCGGAACUUGAGUAGAGUGGCGCACGGGUGAGUAACGCGUAAAUAAUCUACCCUGAUGUCUGGAAUAACCAGCCGAAAGGCUGACUAAUACGGGAUACAUGUAUACCUGCUGGGGUAUACAGGAAAGGUGGCCUCUUCUUGAAAGCUAUCGCAUUGGGAUGAGUUUGCGUACCAUUAGCUAGUUGGUGGGGUAAAGGCUUACCAAGGCAACGAUGGUUAGCGGGUCUGAGAGGAUGAUCCGUCACACUGGCACUGGAACACGGGCCAGACUCCUACGGGAGGCAGCAGUGAGGAAUAUUGCGCAAUGGGGGAAACCCUGACGCAGCGACGCCGCGUGAGUGAGGAAGGCCUUCGGGUCGUAAAGCUCUGUCAGAAGGGAAGAAGUGUAGCGUAGUUAAUACCUGCGCUAUUUGACGGUACCUUCAAAGGAAGCACCGGCUAACUCCGUGCCAGCAGCCGCGGUAAUACGGAGGGUGCGAGCGUUGUUCGGAAUCACUGGGCGUAAAGGGCGCGCAGGCGGUUUCAUAAGUCAGAUGUGAAAUCCCACGGCUUAACCGUGGAAGUGCAUUUGAAACUGUGAGACUUGAGUACCAGAGGGGAAGGUGGAAUUCCCGGUGUAGAGGUGAAAUUCGUAGAUAUCGGGAGGAAUACCGGUGGCGAAGGCGACUUUCUGGCUGGAUACUGACGCUGAGGCGCGAA